UUGGUGCCUUCGGGAACUGUGAGACAGGUGCUGCAUGGCUGUCGUCAGCUCGUGUUGUGAAAUGUUGGGUUAAGUCCCGCAACGAGCGCAACCCUUAUCCUUUGUUGCCAGCGGUUAGGCCGGGAACUCAAAGGAGACUGCCAGUGAUAAACUGGAGGAAGGUGGGGAUGACGUCAAGUCAUCAUGGCCCUUACGAGUAGGGCUACACACGUGCUACAAUGGCAUAUACAAAGAGAAGCGACCUCGCGAGAGCAAGCGGACCUCAUAAAGUAUGUCGUAGUCCGGAUUGGAGUCUGCAACUCGACUCCAUGAAGUCGGAAUCGCUAGUAAU
rnacentral:rRNA from 1 species